AACAAAAAGAAUUAAAAAAAAGAGAAAGAAAUAUAAAGAAAUGAAAAGAAAAAAAAUAAAAAUAAUUAAAAAUAGUUAAGACAAAAGAAAAUCUUUCAACCUUAAAAUGGCUGAUCGUGUCGAGACGGCAGCAGCACACUUGUCGUCCUUCCCAGAAGCUUCUCCGGUGUUUUCGCAGUCGCAAAUCUAAACCGUUAACUAGAUAGAAGAAUCAUUGAAGAAGAACUAGUGAACACAAGGAAUAUGGGAACUCACAUCAAUUUCAACAGCUUAGGAGGUGGUGGAAGUUACCAGAUGAAGCCAACAGAUAGUCCCAAUCCCCUGGCGAGACAGUCCUCUGUUUACUCCCUAACCUUUGAUGAGCUUCAGAGCACAUUCGGUGGACCGGGGAAAGAUUUAGGGUCUAUGAACAUGGAUGAGCUCCUGAAAAGCAUAUGGACUGCUGAAGAAGCUCAGGCCAUGACUUCUUCAGCUGCUACAGCGGUGGCGCAACAUGGUGGUGGGAAUCUCCAGAGGCAAGGCUCGUUGACAUUGCCUAGAACGAUUAGUCAGAAGACUGUUGAUGAGGUCUGGAAAUUUCUGAUCACCAAGGAUGGUGAAAUGGGAGGUAGCAGCAAUGGUGAGUCUAAUGCACAACAGACUUUAGGGGAGAUGAAGAUUGAGGACUUUCUGUUUCGCGCUGGAGUUGUAAGAGAAGAUAACAACGAGUUUUAUGGUAACAACGGUGCUGCUGAAGGGCUAGGCUUUGGAUUUGGUCAGCUAAAUCAAAACAACAUAUCAUUCAAUGGCACUAAUGAUUCCAUGAUCUUGAAUCAGCCACAACAACAGUCACAUCCACAGCAGCAGCAUCAGCACCAGAGGCUGCCUCAAACCAUUUUUCCUAAACAAGGAAACGUAGAAUUUACUGCGCAUGUGGGUAUGGUCAACAAUUAUAAUGGAUUAGGUAGUUUCAGAGGAGAAGGGGUUAAAAUUGGAGCGACAUCACCAGGGACAAGCAGCGGGGAGAAUAAUUCCUUCUCACCAGUUCCAUAUGUGCUUAACCGAGGAAGAAGAAGCCAUACGGGUGUAGAGAAGGUUAUCGAGAGGAGGCAAAGGAGGAAGAUCAAGAACAGGGAAUCAGCUGCUAGAUCUAGAGCUCGGAAGCAAGCUUAUACCUUGGAACUGGAAGCCGAAAUUGAAAAGCUCAAGAAAGUGAAUCAAGAAUUGCAGAGAAAACAGGCUGAAAUGAUGGAGAUGCAGAAGAAUGAGGUGAAUGAACCGAGGGGCAGCAAGAGGCAGUGCCUGAGAAGGACACUAACCGGUCCUUGGUAAAAUCAGAAUGUAACAACAUGUACCGAGCAUACCAGACACCGGUUUGCAUGGGAAUAAUGUAAUAGGAGAUAGUGGUGCUACCUGUACAGGAGAUUAAGAGAAAUUUUAUUAAGUGAGAAUCUCAGGUUAUACAGUAGAAGUAUCAUAUUAUGUUUUGUGCCCUGGCCUUCAUUAGUCUAGCUAUAUACUCUGUUUUGUGCUUUCUAGUUUUAUGGAGUUUUCUACAAGCGUUUUUUAUAUCUUCACCACCUAUUAGAAAUUUGCUUUUCUCCUGAGAUUUACAGUUAAAUCUUGAUUCUAUUAGAAAACAUAUUAUUAUCUUCCAAAAUUGCAAUUAGAAAACAGUUUGAUGACACGAAGUGCCAAAAUUCUAGAAGUGAAUCGAAAAGAGAGACCAUUUGGUGGAGAGCCAGUCUCAACCAGGAAACUCCGGCUACAAUGUGACCUUGAGGAAGAAGCCAAGUCACCUCUCGGUGACCAGCCUUUAUCCUCCUCAACAGCCGUUGCAAGCUCAAGAUGCAAUGGAUCACAGCUUUCACUUAACAGCCUCAGGACUUGCUUGAUUGAUGGCCUAGCCACGCCUUCUUUUUCUGUGCACCACCUCUGAGCUGUUCUCCAUCUAUGCAGUCUUUGAUUCUUGAAUCCACCAGAUGUAUGCGUCUUGAUUCUGAUGCUAGUAAAGGCUGAGACAACUCUGAGUAGAUAUCAAGAAAAUCAGACAAAGAAACAAACCAUAGUAAGAACUUAGAAGACUGUGUCAUGUGUAUAGAUAGAGCAACGCUAAGCUCAGCCACAUUAAAGACGUAGCUAGCAAGUUCGAGGGCAGCUGAAUUAUCAACCUGACUAGCUAAUGCAGCGUAGCUUGCAUCUCCACUAGACUACGUAUGUAGGCAAUACCAGAAUUCAAGCAACUCUUGCAUUGAUCUCCCUGUGUAAGAGAGAGUUUCUAGAAACAUCUCCAAACCACAUUAGCUCCAUGGUUCUAGAGAUGGAAGUGAUGCAGGUAUGAGUCAAGUCUGUGCGACUCCAAGAUCUGUUAAAAGCUCACUAAGUUGCUUAAAACACCCAUAGAAGCAAUGAUUAAACAUAAUGAUUGCAUUUGUUUGUUGUUUAGUGGUUUUUCUACUCUUUCAAGUGGCUAUCUCUUCACAUAGUUUCGUUUUCACAGAUUUCAUAUCAUCAUAUACACCAAUAGUUUUGCUAAUUAGAAAGCAUAGUUUUAUAAUCAAAGAAAACAACUUUUCCAUGAAACAAUAAUCCAAUAACUAUGGUGUGAGGAAUAUCCUCUAUUUCAAAUAAAAUGUCAUCCUACCACUUCCUUUUGUCUCAAAAGAAUAUCAUCUUAAAUUUAUAAUACAAUCUAUCUAAUUAAAUUAAAAUAUUAAUUGAAAAGUGAAUUGAUCUUUAUCAUAUAAAUAAUUCUGUUUAUCUUAAAUACAAUUAGCUAAAUAAAUAUAAUUAUUAAGACCAUAAAAAAAUGUUUCAAUCGUUUUAAAACUUAUGUAAAAAUAUCAAAAUGAAAUUUUUUAUAAAACGGAUGGAGUAUAUAGUAUUAUACUUUUGGAUUAAACACUAAAUUAUGAACGUACGAGCAUCAAAUAUUUUAUGAAAUCCAAACAUAUGAGCCAUAUAAUUUAUGAGAAUGUAUAAACUAUUAAUAAUUCUGAAAAGUUAUUUUAGUUAUAUAUCAUUAUUAUUAACAAACAAAAAAAAGUUUAAGUUUUUUUUUAAAAAAAAAUUUAUAUAAAAAAUAAAAAUUUUAAUUUUUUUAUAAAUUAAAAGAUAUCAUUAUUAAUUUAGAAUUCUCUUGAAAACAUAAAAAAGCAAAAACAUUAUUUAAAAAAAGUUGGAGACACUAAAAACACAUUUUAUGAUAUCAACUACAUUUCUUUCACAAAGGUUUGCAAAUAUCUGUGUAUCUAUAACAUUCUUUUGAGUGCAAUCAUAAGUGGUAGAACUUUUUUUUUUCUGAGGAAAAAUUAUACCACUUCUAAAUUUUACUAUAUUGUAUAUUUCAAAAUCUUGUCUCAGAAUAUGAUAACCAUCAAAUUACAGAUACCGAUAUCCAGUAUAACCUCGUUAAAUUAAUAUUCUAUAAAUUAAUAUACACUAAAAAUCUCUAUAAAAUAAUAUAAUUUUAUAGUCUCAAAUUAAGUUUUUGUUCAAUUAGUAUAUCGAUAAAUUAUUAUCUCUAUAAAUUAAUUAAAAAAUUAUAGUUUUUGUAUAGUUUCAACAUUAUUAAUUUAUAGAGGUUUCAUUGUAUAUAUAUCGGUAUCUAUAAUUUGAUGGUUAUCAUAUUCAAUAACAAGAUUUUGAAAUAUACAAUAUAUUCAAUAUCUAUAUAUAUAUAUAUUUAUAUCUAUAUAUAUUUUUAGAUUAAAUAUUUGUUCCAUAUAAUUAUAUACUAAAAUUAAAAAUAUUUAUUAACUAUUUAACGGAUUAUAUUACUCACACUAAGUCAUAUUCAACAAAACAUGUGUGGUAGAAAAUGUUAUCCUCCAUAUUUGUUUAGCGCGUGUUUUCUACGCGGUCCAAAAUAUAUAUUUGAUUCCAAUUAUGAAAAAUUUGUUCUUAGUUACUCAAAUAGGGAGACUGAUUUUACUAUAUAUCACACUAAACCCUUGGUUGGUAACCAUAAAUCACAUUUCAUCUUCUCAGUAUCUACCAUCUUCACUGCUUAAGCAUGCCUCCUCCUCCUGUUGCUGUUUACAGAUCGGAUGAUUUCUUAGCCCGUGUUGCUUUUUACCAGAGAUUUCAUGUAGCUGCUGCUUUGACUGAAGCACUUGAAAACCGAACUCCCAGUGAACAACGAACUUUGAUUGGUGAGACGCUCUACCCUUUGGUGGAACUACUCCAGCCAUUGUUUGCACCAAAAAUCACAGGAAUGCUACUUGAACUACCCCGACCCCAAAUCUUUCGGUGCAUAGAAUCACCAGAAGUCCUCAAAGCGAAGGUUAAUGAGGCAAUUGAUGUUUUAGUGGACUGGUAUCCCCAACAGAUGAAGCUAAACGGGCAAGAAGCUAAGGAGUUUCGAGCAGCCAAGCUCUUAUCUAAGCUUUGAUGUGAUUUUGCUUGGUUUAAUUAUGUUUGAUGUUGCAUUUUGAUUCUGAAUAAAAAACUUAAGACUCUAUAAUUAUUGGUAAUGUACUCAAUGUUCUAAUGAAAAUCUGUUAAAAACAUCUAUUUUGUUUUGAUGUCUAAAAAUAAUAAUAUGGGAUUGAUUAUCUACGCCAAACCAACCAUAAACACAAAACAAGACCAACCAUAUAAACAAAUGCAAAGGCUAAAAUAAGUAACCAACCAUAUUAAAUUCUAUUUGUGAAAAUAUAUAUUCAAUUCUAGUUGUGAAAAAUUUGUUCUUGAUUACUUAAAUAGGCAAACAGUUUUUUUUAUAUAGCAGACUAACCAUUGUUCGGUAAUCCUACUCACAUUUUGUUUUCUCAAUUUUCUACCGUCUUCAUUGUUUAAAUCAUGUCUCCUCCUAUUUCUAUAUACAGUAUUCAUGAUCCGUUGUCCCGUGCUGCUUUUACCCGAAGAUUUUCCGUAGCUGUUUUGAAUGAAGCACUUGAAAACCGAACUCCCAGUGAACAACGAAUUGUAAACUGAAUUUUUUAAUAUGGUGACUAUUUUGGAAAUACUUACUUUAAUUUCCCUUUUUGUAGUUAAUUGGUGAGACUCUGUACCCUUUGGUGGAAUUAGUUGAGCCAAAUUUUACAGCAAAAAUCACAGGAAUGCUUCUUGAGCUAGACCGAACCCAAAUCUUUAAGUUGAUAGAAUCACCAGAAGCCUUCAAAGAGAAGGUUUACGAAGCAAUUUAUGUUUUAAUUAGGAAAGUGGUUUCCCCAACAAAUGAAGCUAGACGAACAAGAAGCUAAGGAGUUCCGAGAAGCCAUGCUCUUGUCUAAUUAUUGAUUUCAUUUUGUGGUUUUAUUUAUGUUUUGUGUUGCAUUUUGCAUUUUGAUUCCUCAUUUUAUUCCAAAUAAAAACUGAAGAUUCUAUCAUCAUUGUUAAAGUACUCAAUGUUCUAAUGAAAUUUUGUCAAAAGGAAAACUUCGUUUUGGUUUGUCCGAAAAUAAUAAUAUGGGAUCAUCUAUGCCAAACAAACCAUAAACACAAACACAAGAGAUUAUCUAUAAGAAAACAUAUGCUAAACCAACCAUAAAACCAAAAAUAAAGAUUACCUAUAAAAUACUCGCCACAAAGAUAUCAAUUGUGUAUGAAAUAUACAUUUGCUAUAAGGUCUGAUCCCCUAUAUAUUAAAGGAGAAGCAUUUUUAAGGCUUUCCUUAAUUAUCUCUUAGUUGUUUUUUUAAGGAUGCAUGAGAAGGCUCUAUUCUCUUUUUUGCUUACGAGUCGCGCUCACAUCGUUUCUCACAAAAUCAUUUAAUGUGAAACCAUUAAAUGUUUCCUUUUUUGAUGAUUUUUUUUGCAAACUCUUUUUUCAUGUCCUUGGGCAGUCGACGUUCCAUGUCCUUGAUACAAGGCGCAACGAUGGGUAUCAGAAGCAGAGAAGAAGACGAUAUGAGGGUGAUCGACGUUCUUUACUAAGAUUAUAAAGAAAGAGAUUUUGUAAAGCAAGCGCAUCGACGAUCUUCUAUUUCAGAAAGAGAAAACAUCAAAGAAUCCCCAUCGAAAAGAAAAAAAAGAGAAGAAAUGGAAGGCUUGAUUCCAUUUUUGUACAAAGCCAUGGUCAUGUAUAAAAGAGAAGGAAGCUUUUCGUCAGUUUUGCUCAGCGAUCAUCAUUCUCAUCAACUUCCGGUUACUACAGGAGACUUCCUGUAGUACUCCUCCGGUAUAUUUCGAACAUCAGUCCUCAGGCAAUUUGGGACCGACCGUCUUGGAUUUCUUAAAACGACGCCUUCUUCACCAUCUCGCUUGCCCACUAGGAACAUCACGAAACGUACGUAAGGAGUGUUCUUGAAAAUACUAUUUACAUAAAGAGAUACAAAUCUUUCUUGACGUGUCCUCUUAUCCUAAGGGACGUUCAAAUACGUUCUACCCAGAUUUUCCAAUUGUUCUAAAGACUCAGAGGGUUUUGUUCUGAUAGCUGGUAGUUCUGUGCAUGGCUCUAAGUCUAAUCUGAAGACAGCUGCUAAACGUGAAGGAUCCCAUAUCGAAAGUUUAGAGGCAGCUAUCUACAGGGGCACUGUUAACGAACAUCGACAUUCGGAUUCGAUUAAGAAAGUGAAGACUGAAAAUAGUGGCUGAAGAAUUAUUAGAAACCUGUCUACAAUGAAGAUAGGCUUUUUUCUUUUAUUGUUAUAAGUAUUUUAAUUGUUUUAAUCUUCAUAUUAUGCUUGGUUUUUGGGUUCUGUUUAACAAUUUUGGAAGUCUGAAGUGUUUUAUUUUUUAACAUUUUUACGUACUCUAAGCAUAUGUUGGUCGUUUUUAAUAUAAACCCUCUUAUCA